CACAGACAUUAACAACUAUAGGUCACCGUACGGCCUUCAACAAUGAGCAAAGCCCAUACCGCAUAGACAGCUAUAAAAGGCCCCGAUAAGACAAUGUAAAACAAUUCAAACGAGAAAACUAACGGCCUUAUUUAUAUCAAAAAAAUGAACGAAAAACAAAUAUGUAACACAUAAACAAACGACAACCACUGAAUUACAGGCUCCUGACUUGGGACAGGCACUUACAUAAAUAAUGUGGCGGGGUUAAACAUGUUAGCGGGAUCCCAACCCUCCCCCUAACCUGGGACAGUGCUAUAACAGUACAACAUA
rnacentral:lncRNA from 1 species